AGCAACGCCGCGUGAGGGAUGAAGGCCUCUGGGCUGUAAACCUCUUUUAUCAAGGAAGAAGAUCUGACGGUACUUGAUGAAUAAGCCACGGCUAAUUCCGUGCCAGCAGCCGCGGUAAUACGGGAGUGGCAAGCGUUAUCCGGAAUUAUUGGGCGUAAAGCGUCCGCAGGCGGCCCUUCAAGUCUGCUGUUAAAAAGUGGAGCUUAACUCCAUCAUGGCAGUGGAAACUGUUGGGCUUGAGUGUGGUAGGGGCAGAGGGAAUUCCCGGUGUAGCGGUGAAAUGCGUAGAUAUCGGGAAGAACACCAGUGGCGAAGGCGCUCUGCUGGGCCAUCACUGACGCUCAUGGACGAAAGCCAGGGGAGCGAAAGGGAUUAGAUACCCCUGUAGUCCUGGCCGUAAACGAUGAACACUAGGUGUCGGGGGAAUCGACCCCCUCGGUGUCGUAGCCAACGCGCUAAGUGUUCCGCCUGGGGAGUACGCACGCAAGUGUGAAACUCAAAGGAAUUGACGGGGGCCCGCACAAGCGGUGGAGUAUGUGGUUUAAUUCGAUGCAACGCGAAGAACCUUACCAGGGUUUGACAUCCUGCGAAUUUCUGGGAAACCGGAAAGUGCCUUCGGGAACGCAGUGACAGGUGGUGCAUGGCUGUCGUCAGCUCGUGUCGUGAGAUGUUGGGUUAAGUCCCGCAACGAGCGCAACCCACGUCUUUAGUUGCCAGCAUUUAGUUGGGCACUCUAGAGAGACUGCCGGUGAUAAACCGGAGGAAGGUGUGGAUGACGUCAAGUCAUCAUGCCCCUUACAUCCUGGGCUACACACGUACUACAAUGCUACGGACAAAGGGCUGCAAGUUCGCGAGGACAAGCAAAUCCCAUAAACCGUGGCUCAGUUCAGAUCGUAGGCUGCAACUCGCCUACGUGAAGGCGGAAUCGCUAGUAAUCGCAGGUCAGCAUACUGCGGUGAAUACGUUCCCGGGCCUUGUACACACCGCCCGUCACACCAUGGAAGUUGGCCACGCCCGAAGCCGUUACUCCAACCCUUGUGGAGGAGGACGUCGAAGGUGGGGCUGAUGACUGGGGUGAAGUCGUAACAAGGUAACC
rnacentral:rRNA from 1 species